UAUAUUUCCAUUACCUGAAUGCUUUAUAACGGCACCACGUUCAGGUAAUAGAAAUGUACA
rnacentral:pre_miRNA from 1 species